rnacentral:rRNA from 1 species
UACGUAGGGGGCUAGCGUUGUCCGGAAUCAUUGGGCGUAAAGCGCGUGUAGGCGGCCCGGUAAGUCCGCUGUGAAAGUCGGGGGGCUCAACCCUCGGAUGCCGGUGGAUACUGUCGGGCUCGAGUACGGAAGAGGCGAGUGGAAUUCCUGGUGUAGCGGUGAAAUGCGCAGAUAUCAGGAGGAACACCAAUUGCGAAGGCAGCUCGCUGGGACGUUACUGACGCUGGAGACGCGAAAGCGUGGGGAGCAAACAGG